rnacentral:rRNA from 1 species
CCUACGGGAGGCAGCAGUGGGGAAUUUUGGACAAUGGGCGCAAGCCUGAUCCAGCAAUGCCGCGUGCAGGAUGAAGGCCUUCGGGUUGUAAACUGCUUUUGUACGGAACGAAACGGCUCUUUCUAAUAAAGAGAGCUAAUGACGGUACCGUAAGAAUAAGCACCGGCUAACUACGUGCCAGCAGCCGCGGUAAUACGUAGGGUGCGAGCGUUAAUCGGAAUUACUGGGCGUAAAGCGUGCGCAGGCGGUUAUAUAAGACAGAUGUGAAAUCCCCGGGCUCAACCUGGGACCUGCAUUUGUGACUGUAUAGCUAGAGUACGGUAGAGGGGGAUGGAAUUCCGCGUGUAGCAGUGAAAUGCGUAGAUAUGCGGAGGAACACCGAUGGCGAAGGCAAUCCCCUGGACCUGUACUGACGCUCAUGCACGAAAGCGUGGGGAGCAAACAGGAUUAGAUACCCUGGUAGUCCACGCCCUAAACGAUGUCAACUGGUUGUUGGGUCUUCACUGACUCAGUAACGAAGCUAACGCGUGAAGUUGACCGCCUGGGGAGUACGGCCGCAAGGUUGAAAACUCAAAGGAAUUGAACGGCGNGAGACGAGCGACGGACGACGACGAGGGAGGAGG